UCCGGUCCAUCCCAGGACACACCUGGCGCUUUAGCUCAGCUAAUCCACCUACUGGCCUGAGACGUUAGAGGAAACACACAUGGACAUGGAGAGAACAUGCACAGAUGAUACUGGGAGCUUGUGAUCAAACUGAGGACCCUGGAGCUAUGUGCUGAUGUACGAAGAUGAGGAAGAUACUGAAAAUCAUCCACGCAUACAGCACUGCAGUGAAUCUGAAUCCGGAGCCUAUCUCACCGAGGUAGGAAAACAUCCUGGAUGGAACUCCAGUGUACAUCGCAGACCACACAUUUCUACCAAAUGGCCAAGUCUGAGUUAUCAAUCUGUUUCAGCAUAUUUUGAGAAGUGAAAGUGAAACGAACAAAUCCAGCAGUGAAGCAAACAAACACAUGGAGAACAUCUUUAAGGUGGUAAAGCUAUCCAGUGCACAACCAUGCAGCCUUUUGACUGUUAAUUUACUUUAAUUUUCACACCGAAAUAGAAAUAAUAAUCACUCUUUUUGAUGUUCAUAAUAAAUGUAAAUCACAGGGGAGAACACAGACUACAAGACUACAUAAGAAGCCAAGCUUCCCUUAAUAUUUCAUUAAAAUGUUCACCAAAGUGAUUAUAUUAUUCCUUAAUCUCUGUGGAAUUCAAUAUUUGAAUUUAUUAACGAUCAAAUAUCUAACUUCAAUAUCGCAGUUUGUUCAUUUGUUCAAAAUCUUCUUUGAAGACAGAGAUAAUACACAGUCAUUGAAGCUUGUACAUCAACUUGUGUGUUAGGUGUUCAUGUAUUCGCUGGACUAUAAAUGGGAUAAACGACGGACGACAACAACUGGAUUUUAAUACAUUC